UACGUAGGGUGCAAGCGUUAAUCGGAAUUACUGGGCGUAAAGCGUGCGCAGGCGGCUUUGCAAGCCAGAUGUGAAAUCCCCGGGCUUAACCUGGGAACUGCAUUUGUGACUGCAAGGCUGGAGUGCGGCAGAGGGGGAUGGAAUUCCGCGUGUAGCAGUGAAAUGCGUAGAUAUGCGGAGGAACACCGAUGGCGAAGGCAAUCCCCUGGGCCUGCACUGACGCUCAUGCACGAAAGCGUGGGGAGCAAACAGG
rnacentral:rRNA from 1 species